UACGUAGGGACCGAGCGUUGUCCGGAAUCAUUGGGCGUAAAGAGCGUGUAGGCGGCUGACCAAGUCCUGCGUGAAAUCUUGCGGCUCAACCGCAAGCGGUCGUGGGAAACUGGUCGGCUAGAGUGCGGGAGAGGAGAGUGGAAUUCCUGGUGUAGCGGUGAAAUGCGCAGAUAUCGGGAGGAACACCUAUGGCGAAGGCAGCUCGCUGGGACGUUACUGACGCUGAGACGCGAAAGCGUGGGGAGCAAACAGG
rnacentral:rRNA from 1 species